UGUUUUCUGUAUAAAAAUGUCCAUCAGAUGAAGGUCAAAGGGGUUGGGGGCAGAUGCUUAUGCGGGAAUAGCGAGGUGGCAGCCCCAGCAGCCUUUCAGCCCUCUCUCGUGCAGGCCUUGCUCGGAGUCCCAGGAGAUCCACAGGUCCGGCAUGAACAGUGAGAGGUCAGAGGUGGAAGGCUCAGCAGGAGAGGAGAGGAGGAUCAGCAGAGGUCAUGAGAAGGCCAGAAUCCAGGGUCAGGCUGUCUGGAACAGGAAGUAAAAUGGGCCGAGAUGGAGCGAGCCCCCAGUGUGCUUCCAAGGCCACUCCCACCUCCCUGAAACACCCUGCUACGUACUGAUCCAAUGCCCUGCGCUGUGUAUGAGAGCACCUUCUCUUCUGAAACCCCUAUACAAGGGAGGGGCCCCUGCGGAGACCGUGCCCUGCCAUCCAGUCCUCAAGGGGAUUCUAAAAAACUAGUGACAAAGUAGGGAAGCAGCUGAGCUGGAAAGGAGUUCUGAGGACGAUGGAACCUUGGGUAAGGAGGAAGAAGGCUGCCCACCCGCCCUUUUCUGGCAGCCACCCUCCCUCACACUGUCCGUUCCUUGAUGACACAGCUGAUGUGAUUAAGAUCGUCCCCAAAUCGCUUCACAGCAGCCCUCAGCAUCUCUAUUUCCGUCUCCGUCCACUUCGCACUGUCAGAAGGGGAGAGGGGGGAUAGCAAAAAUGGGAGGGGGGGUGUGGAGCCCGCCCACAGGCUAUGCAUCCCACAGCCAACCAGCCGCCUCCUUCCGAUUUCUGGGACCCCUUCCACGGAUGCAUAAAGAGGUCCUCCGUAAGGGGAGGCGGAAAGCUCUUGAGGCCCUGCGGGAACCGGGAGGACCCCAAUCACAAGAAAUCACAACCACCUCCACCUUAGACACCCCUUUCCACCAUCAACGUUAAACGGCUGCUGUACACAGCACACUGAAACCAACUCGCCAGGAAGGGCUUUUCAAAACAGACCCACCAACACAGCCUGCAGCCGUCUGGGGGAAUUCCAUGAACUGGGGUGGUUGGGAGUGGCGGUGGUUUGUGGUCGACCCGUUCGCAGCAGGGAGAACUGUGAAACAGGAGUCUGGGCUAUGGGCCUGUCUGUAUUUUUAUCUGUCAUUCAUUCCCUCACCCAACGAUCAUUUAUUAACACCGACUCUGUGCUGUGCCACGCACAAAGGGAAACUAAUGUCUGUCCCUGUGCUAGAGAGGGUCCGUGUCUGUGACCGAGUCCAAGCGCCCGCUCUCAGCGUCCACGUCCCAGUCCGGGCUCACGUACCCCGCAGGAGAAGAGUCGGCCACGGGAUGCAGCUGCAUCGUCAGCUCCCCGAGCUUCGUGAAGGCGGCGCCGGCCGCCGAGAAGAUCUCUCCGACCUGGGGGCGGGGCAGCGUCACGGGGGGCCGGCGCCCGCCCUCCCCGUCCCGCCCGGAGCCCCUAGCCCCACCCCAGGCUCGGCUCCCGCCCGCCCCCCGCCCGGGGCGGAAGAGCCGCGAGCCAAGUGGGGGGCCCGCCCUCCCGUGGCCGCCAGGGAGCGCUGUCCGCGAGGGAGGUCGAACCUUUGUGGACGCUGACGUCAUGGCCCCGCGCGCCUCCUCACGGAGACGCCGCCGCCGCCGCUACACGCGAGCCGGGACCACGGAGAGCAGGGAGACUGAGCGGC
rnacentral:lncRNA from 1 species